CCUAAGCUGAGGCCGACAGGCGUAGGCGAUGGAUAACAGGUUGAUAUUCCUGUACCACCUAUAAUCGUUUUAAUCGAUGGGGGGACGCAGUAGGAUAGGCGAAGCGUGCGAUUGGAUUGCACGUCUAAGCAGUAAGGCUGAGUAUUAGGCAAAUCCGGUACUCAUUAAGGCUGAGCUGUGAUGGGGAGAAGACAUUGUGUCUUCGAGUCGUUGAUUUCACACUGCCGAGAAAAGCCUCUAGAUAGAAAAUAGGUGCCCGUACCGCAAACCGACACAGGUAGUCAAGAUGAGAAUUCUAAGGUGAGCGAGCGAACUCUCGUUAAGGAACUCGGCAAAAUGACCCCGUAACUUCGGGAGAAGGGGUGCUCUUUAGGGUUAACGCCCAGAAGAGCCGCAGUGAAUAGGCCCAAGCGACUGUUUAUCAAAAACACAGGUCUCUGCUAAACCGUAAGGUGAUGUAUAGGGGCUGACGCCUGCCCGGUGCUGGAAGGUUAAGAGGAGUGGUUAGCUUCUGCGAAGCUACGAAUCGAAGCCCCAGUAAACGGCGGCCGUAACUAUAACGGUCCUAAGGUAGCGAAAUUCCUUGUCGGGUAAGUUCCGACCCGCACGAAAGGCGUAACGAUUUGGGCACUGUCUCAACGAGAGACUCGGUGAAAUCAUAGUACCUGUGAAGAUGCAGGUUACCCGCGACAGGACGGAAAGACCCCGUGGAGCUUUACUGUAGCCUGAUAUUGAAAUUCGGCACAGCUUGUACAGGAUAGGUAGGAGCCUUUGAAACGUGAGCGCUAGCUUACGUGGAGGCGCUGGUGGGAUACUACCCUAGCUGUGUUGGCUUUCUAACCCGCACCACUUAUCGUGGUGGGAGACAGUGUCAGGCGGGCAGUUUGACUGGGGCGGUCGCCUCCUAAAAGGUAACGGAGGCGCUCAAAGGUUCCCUCAGAAUGGUUGGAAAUCAUUCAUAGAGUGUAAAGGCAUAAGGGAGCUUGACUGCGAGACCUACAAGUCGAGCAGGGUCGAAAGACGGACUUAGUGAUCCGGUGGUUCCGCAUGGAAGGGCCAUCGCUCAACGGAUAAAAGCUACCCCGGGGAUAACAGGCUUAUCUCCCCCAAGAGUUCACAUCGACGGGGAGGUUUGGCACCUCGAUGUCGGCUCAUCGCAUCCUGGGGCUGUAGUCGGUCCCAAGGGUUGGGCUGUUCGCCCAUUAAAGCGGUACGCGAGCUGGGUUCAGAACGUCGUGAGACAGUUCGGUCCCUAUCCGUCGUGGGCGUAGGAAAUUUGAGAGGAGCUGUCCUUAGUACGAGAGGACCGGGAUGGACAUACCUCUGGUGUACCAGUUGUCGUGCCAACGGCAUAGCUGGGUAGCUAUGUGUGGACGGGAUAAGUG
rnacentral:rRNA from 1 species